rnacentral:rRNA from 1 species
GGUGGAUGACUAGGCUCAUAUUGGUGAUGAAGGGCGUGGCAAGCUACGAUAUUCUCAGGCUAGGUGCAUGCAACCGUUGAACCUGAGGUUCCUGAAUGUGACUUCACUAAUAAAUCCGUAAGGAUGGCAAUACGCAGGGAAUUGAAGCGUCUUAGUACCUGCAGGAAAAGAAAUCAAUCGAGAUGCUGUUAGUAACGGCGAGUGAAAACAGUAUAAGGCAAACAGAUCCUUUGCAGUAAUGUAACGGAGAUGACGUGUUUGGACUGCUUUUACCUCCUUUUUUGUGACUUGAAUACUUCUGGAAAGUUGAACCAUAGAGGGUGAUAGUCCCUUAAAGCAAGUAAAAAAGGAAUUUAGCAGUAUCCAGAGUACCGUCUAUUGGAUAUUAGGCGGGAAUUUGGGAGGCAUCAACUUCCAACCUUAAAUACAAAAUGAGUCCGAUAGCGUACGAGUACCGUGAGGGAAAGUUGAAAAGAACCCGUAACAGGGAGUUAAAAGCGCCUGAAACCUAAUAGUUACAGUGAGGUACGGCUCUUAGGAGUUGUACCGUGCGUUUCGAAUAACGUGCCAGGGAGUGUAUUUUUAUGGCGAGGGUAAUCCUUUUAAGGGAGGACCCGCAGGGAAACCAAAAGUCCGCAGUUUACAAGGGACAAGGUGUGAAUAGUGCCUUUGAGUCAUAGGGAUACGAUCUGAAGCCGGGUGAUCUUACCCAGGUCAAGGUGAAGCCCCCCUAAGAAGGGGUGGAGGCCUGAAGGGGUUCUGUGAACAAGCGUUCCUCUGAACUUGGGCAAGGGGUGAAAAGCCAAUCGAACCCGGCGAUAGCAGGUUCCUGCCAAAAUUGGCCGUAGUCAAGCCUCGAUCGAGAUGGCAAUGAAGGUAGAGCUACGGAUUUAGGAUUUAGGGGGAGAAAUUCCUCGGUUCUUUGUCCAACUCCGAAUUUCAUUGUAUUGUAGACAUCGGGAAACAGGUAAUGUGGGGUAAACCUCAUUACCGAAAGGGGAACAACCCAAACUAUAGUUAAGGCCCUUAAGUGCUAAUUAAGUGUUAAAGGGUGAAGAGUGUUAUUAGCCUCAGACAGCAAGGAGGUUGGCUUAGAAGCAGCCACCCUAUAAUAAGUGCGUAACAGCUUACUUGUCAAGGUUAGUAGCCUCGAAAAUGGACGGGACUAAAUUAGUCGCCGAUACUAUAGACCUUCGAAAGAAGUGUGGUAGGCAGGCAUCCUGGUUGGGUAGAAGCAUGUUUGAAAAGAUAUGUGGACCAACUUGGAAUGAGAAUCCUGGCGGUAGUAGGAACAUAGUACUGCGAGAAUCAGUACCGCCGAAAGGGCAAGGGUUCCUUGACAAUGCAAAUCAGUCAAGGGGUAAUCGAUCCUAACCAAUCUCCUAAUUGGAGUAAUGGGAAAGGGAAACAGGUUAAUAUUCCUGUAUUACUUUAGUAUGUGCGGCAACGCAAGUUAUAAUCCUGACUCUUCUGGCUAGACCAACAUAUUUUGUCUAAUAUGUUAAUGAAGUAAUAUCAAGGGAGUAUCGUAAUGAUGAGAACUUGAUCGCGCUCAGAAUAGUUUUCUGUAUAGAAAAUUUGGUUGAUGCCUGGAGACCGUGAAAAGGGAUAAUAAAUAAACCUUUAGUAUUCGUACCCAGAACCAGCACAGGUGCCCCUAGGUGAGAAGCCUCAGGUGUGAAGGUUAAAUUUAAUUGAGGGAAUUCGGCAAAAUAGCCCCGUAGCUUCGGUUUAAGGGGUCCCUGCGGUUGUGCAUGUAUUUGUGCGAUUGCAGGGUGCAAUGACUCGGGAGGUCCGACUGUUUAACAAAAACUUAACGUUCUGCUAGUCUGCAAAGAUGUGAAUAGAACGUGACACCUGCCCAGUACCAGUAAUUUAAUCUCCUUUUCAAGGGAGUGAAGAUCUGGCAAACGGCGGGAGUAACUAUAACUCUCUUAAGGUAGCGAAAUGCCUUGCCGUUUAAUUGACGGCCCGCAUGAGUGGUGCAACGAGAUCUCCACUGUCCCCAGUUAAAAGCCACCGAACACUCUGUCUGGUGCAAAGGCCAGAGAAUUCCAGUGGGAAGUGAAGACCCCGCGAAACUUUACUGUAGCCUGUAGUUGUGACGUGAGUUUUGAUGUGUAGCAUAGAUGGGAGUUGCUAAAGCGUAGGCGCUAGUUUACGUGUAGACAUCAUUGAAAUACCAUCCUUUAAAACUUACGCCGCUCACUCGAAAGAGGACCGCUAUUGGUGGACAGUUUGGCUGGGGUGGCACCCUGUUGAAAAGAUAUCAACAGGGCCCUAUGGUUAGCUCAAUCCGGUCAGAAAUCGGAUGUAGAGUGCAAGAGCAAAAGCUAGCCUGAUUGGAUUUUCAACUAUACAAAAUCCAACAACGAAAGUUUGGUCUAGCGAACUCUCGAACCUCCUUGAUGGGGGUCGGGAAUGACAGAAAAGUUACUCCGGGGAUAACAGAGUUGUCCCGCCCAAGAGCUCAUAUCGACGGCGGGGCUUGCUACAUCGAUGUCGGCUCUUCCUAUCCUGGCGGUGCAGAAGCCGCCAAGGGUGGGGGUGUUCACCCAUUAAAAGGGAUCGUGAGCUGGGUUCAGAACGUUGUGAGACAGUUUGUUUAAUAUCUACUGGAAUUGUUUGAUGUCUGAGAGGAAGGAUCUUUUAGUACGAGAGGAACAAGGGUUCGGCGCCUCUGGUCCACCGGUUGUCUGAUAAGGCAUGCCGGGCAGCUACGCGCCAAGGGAUAAGAGCUGAAAGCAUCUAAGCUCGAAGCCCGCCUCGAAAAGAGAUAUCAUGAGCUCCCAAAAAAGAUGGGUUUGAUAGAACAGGUGUGUAA